CCUGGUUUAUUCAAAAACAUGGCUCUUUGAAAUUUGAUUAUAGGGAGUCUGGCCUGCCCGGUGAGGGAAGCCUUAAACGGUCGCAGCUACCACUGUGCGAAGGUAGCGUAAUAGGUCGUCCUUUAAUUGAGGGAAAGUAUGAAUGGUCGGAUGUUGGAAAUACUUUAUUAUAAAUAGUUAUUGAAAUUUACUUCUUUGUGCAAAGGCUAAGAUUGUUUUAUUAGACGAGAAGACCCUAUUGAGCUUGGUAAGCUUAAUUUAUAGUUUAAUUUUGGUUAUAUUUUUUCGGGGCUGAAAAGAAGGAAAGAUUAUGCCUUCUAUUUUUAUAUAAAGAUCCAAUAUGAUUGAUAAGUGGAAGAUAGCUACCAUAGGGAUAACAGCGCAAUCUUUUUGAUAAGGCCAUAUUUAAGAAAAGGUUUGCGACCUCGAUGUUGAAUCAAAAUUUCUACCAGGUGUAGCAGUUUGGUUAGUGGGACUGUUCGUCCUUUAAAAUUUUACGUGAUCUGAGUUUCAG
rnacentral:rRNA from 1 species